rnacentral:rRNA from 1 species
GAUGAACGCUGGCGGCGUGCCUAAUACAUGCAAGUCGAGCGAACAGAUGAGGAGCUUGCUCCUCUGACGUUGCGGCGGACGGGUGAGUAACACGUGGAUAACCUACCUAUAAGACUGGGAUAACUUCGGGAAACCGGAGCUAAUACCGGAUAAUAUAUUGAACCGCAUGGUUCAAUAGUGAAAGACGGUUUUGCUGUCACUUAUAGAUGGAUCCGCGCCGCAUUAGCUAGUUGGUAAGGUAACGGCUUACCAAGGCAACGAUGCGUAGCCGACCUGAGAGGGUGAUCGGCCACACUGGAACUGAGACACGGUCCAGACUCCUACGGGAGGCAGCAGUAGGGAAUCUUCCGCAAUGGGCGAAAGCCUGACGGAGCAACGCCGCGUGAGUGAUGAAGGUCUUCGGAUCGUAAAACUCUGUUAUUAGGGAAGAACAAAUGUGUAAGUAACUAUGCACGUCUUGACGGUACCUAAUCAGAAAGCCACGGCUAACUACGUG